rnacentral:misc_RNA from 1 species
GAUGGAGACCACUGAAUCAAGAUGGAGAAGGAACGAAGAUAUAGAAGAAGAGCGUGCGAGAGAGAGAUAGAGAGAGAGAGAGAGAAGAAGGUGCUUCUAUACACGCUAUUCACAAGAACGUACAGGCUACGAAUAACGAGAAGGCAAGAUAUGCGCGUGCGCACGCGGAGAAAGGAAAAAUCAACGAGCGCGAAAGGUUAAUGGCUGAGUAAUCUAGUCGUGACCCAGAGAAGGGGCUAAAAAUACAUGAACUUAGAGGAGAGCAGGCGAAGGACGUAGGAAGUGAAUUUAGAAAACCAACGUGAAGAGAUCGCGCGUUUCGAUACGUCCAAAUUUAGGAGAUCCAAGACUUUGCGUCCAGCUCCGGUUCGCUUUCCGGCGCAGAGUACCGCCUACACGAUUUAAGCCUCGUUAACGCGAUCCUAUGUGCACAGUGUACGUUAAAUAAAUUGUAACUGCUAUACGUUAUUUCAACGUCUAUAAUCUUAUUGAAGACGAUUAAGCGACUGAAAGUCGCGAUAUGUUCAACUAUUCCACAAAUACAAUUUACAAAUUAACGAAAGGGUUAAUGACAAUAAACACGUGCAAUUCACGCCAAAUCAUUAGUUACCGCGUCGAUAGUAACAUGCUUGGCACGUGCAGUUUUCUAUGCCACAUUGUGU